rnacentral:lncRNA from 1 species
AGGGGCCACUCCCCAAGGGAGGCAGCCAGUCACUCGCCCGCCCUUCCGGGCCCACUCCCGAGGGGACGGUCUCCCGCCCGCCCUCACACACAGCUAGCUCUUCAGGCCAGGCCCCCAGGGUUUCGUCCACCUCUCACCUUUGACGACGCGAAUGAAGAAUGAGGAGGUGCUGCGAUCGAACGACUGCGAGGAAACACACCCGCUCUCAUGGCAUUCCCAGUAAACUGAGAAGACGUGAUUAAACCUCAGGAUCUCCUACUAAUAGAGAAAUGUAUAACGAUUUAGCUACCAGAUCUGAAUACUGAAGGGUUGGUAGGGGACCAGAGAAUAGAGGAAGCAUUGUAGGUUCUAGAGUGGAGAAGGGACCAUCCAAAAUGGAGUUUGAAAGAGAAUUCUGGCCUUUGUGUUUAGAGUCUGGAAUUGUCAAGAGUCUGAAAGCACAGAAUAAGACUGCAGCUAGAGCAAUUUAGGCGCCAUAGUUUGUCAAAACAGGUAAGGGGAAUAAAGGGGAUGACACCAAGAGAUGUGCAAAGAAUCUGAAGAAUUCACCUGAAAAGGAUACAACCUCCUCCUGGAAGGCAGAGGAGUAAAUAGGGAAUUGGAAAUUAAUUCCUUAUUUCUGCACAUGCACAGAAUCUGGGCCCAGGUGACUUAUGGAACCUUUAUAGAGACCACGGUGACUGACACUCAUGGGAAAGGGGGUAGAGGGGCAAGAACUGACUGUUCAUCAAAAAUUAUUAGAUGAGUGUGUCCACGACACCAGGAGAUAUGUUGAAUCAUGGACAGGGACCAGCAUAUCCACUAAGCUCUAUAUAUCUUGAUGGUGCAGGAUCCAAGUGGGAUGGAACAACCAAUUCCUGCCCAUCCUCCUGCUCAAUAAUACAUGUGCUCAGAAUCUGUUCAUAAUGCAUGGUGGUAAGUAAGUAGUAGUCCGAAGGUCCAAGGAGUACCUUUCUACCUCUUCUUUGUGUCAAUUUCUAUCCUGAGACCCCAGGAAAAGAGGAAGGGAAAGACCCAACAAUGGAUUUUUUCCAAAAAGGGAACCCACAAGCUAUUUUUUAGAGGGAAGAGUCUCGGGAGUGAGGCACAGGUGAAAAUGGAUCUUUCUGGCAUGGAAGGGCCAUAACACCACAGGGGAAGGGAAAGGGAGAGGCCCCCACGGAAGGAGAGGAAGGAAGGGACAGGAGGCACGUCACAAACUUAUAAGAUAGAGGGAAGGCACCUGGAGUACAUUGAUCAGGAGUGAGUCUGUAAGAAGAGCUUGAAUCCCCAGAAAAUCUUCCUAAGGAGGGGAGGAAGGAAGUGUAUAAUGUACUGAGUACUGAAUGCUCUGUCAGGAAAGGGAUGGGAAACAUCCUAGCAGCAAUACUAGAAAGGAAAGGCACCCUAUUUUAGGACCCAUUGAUUCCCACCUUGAUUGUAUAUCCUUCAACUCGUCUCUGGCUCCUCACUUCCACUCAGUCAAAAGCCACUUCAUAUAUUUAUCCAGACUUCCAGCCCCAAUACAAAGAAAGCAAGAGCAUACAAAGGGAAGAAUGACAAGGAAUUAAAUAGAACUGUCUUAUAGAUUUAUUAAUGAAAAAUACUUUACAAAAACAGUAUGUUUGGCCUAAAAUAGUUCAGCUGACUCUGAGGGUUUACAUUGACGACUGAGCAAGUGGCAAUAAUGGCUGUGUUAUUGAGGACAGAAGGCUGUGUUAGUGUGCCUGACUCCAUCUGUUCAAAAGGGUGAAUGUUAUGUUGGCAGCUCCGCAUUCUAGGCCUAAGGUUUGGAGGGCACAGGGAAUGCUGACAGGCCAUAAUACCUGGGCAGGGGGGCUGCCCUGAUGAUGUCAUCAGAACCAUGACCACAGGGCUACAUGUCCCCCCAAGGAUGGGAGACAGGGAAGACAAAGGGUCAGGUAAUAGGGAUAGGUGGAUAAAACAAAGAGUAGAAGUUGGGAGUAUAGUAGGGAACAGAGGAUGAGGGCUCAGGUGGAGGUGGGGACAUAAAGCAUCCAGGAAUAAAAUGUGACCUUAAAAUCCUAAGGAAUGGCUAGUAUCCAGAGUAAUACCAUGGAUUCAUCUUUAAAGUGGCUCAGAUAAAACCCUUAAACAGCA